AUCCAAAACCAAGAGGGCCAAGCACCGUACCUCCUAGGCCAAUCCUUUGUACAUUUUAGCUGACUAAUGAGUUUAGCCUUUCCUAGGAUCUGUCUUGCCCCUGUAAUUAUUUCCUAACAGUUCUUGAACUUUUCACAACCAAACUCAUUGAAUAACGUUUUUCUCUUUCAAUUUGGUUAGUCACUACGAGGAGCAACCUCUUCUUGCCCAGUGAUUACAGUAUUAGCUUGUUUGGUGAUUGUAAAUCAUUAAGUCAAUCCAAAUGCAGCAGAAGAGUGCGAGCCCUGUUGAUAAUUCAACAUCAACAGCCCCUCCAAAGCUUAUACUCUACUCUUUCUGGCAGAGUUCAUGCUCUUGGAGAGUCCGCUUUGCUUUGAAUCUUAAAGGGCUUCCGUAUGACUAUAGAGCAGUAAAUCUUAGGAAAGGAGAGCAAUUCAGCCCAGAGUUUGAGAAAAUAAAUCCACUACAUUAUGUUCCUGCGUUGGCUGAUGCAGAUUUGGUGGUGUCUGAUUCAUUGGCAAUAUUGCUGUAUCUGGAGGAGAAGUAUCCCCACAAAGCAUUAAUGCCCCUUGAUCCUGGACUACGAGCCCUCAAUCUUCAGGCUGCAAACAUUGUCUCCUCCAGCAUACAGCCUCUGCAUAUGGUGUCAGUGCUGAGGAAUAUUGAGGAAAAAUUUGGUUCCGAAGAAAGAUCAUCAUGGGCUCAAUCUAAGAUAGAGACAGGCUUCUUUGCUCUUGAGAAGUUGCUAAACAGCCUUGCUGGGAAAUAUGCUACAGGAGAUGAAAUAUACUUGCUAAAAAUCUGUCCCAGGAAACAACGAACAGAAAGUUGAAAUCUGAUGGUUUCAACGGUCAUUAUUGAACUUGGACUUGUGGAUGUUGCAGGCUGAUGUAUUUUUGGCACCGCAAAUUGCUGUUGCAAUAAAAAGGUUUAAUAUUGACAUGUCUAAGUUCCCUACAUUGAGCAGGAUAUUCAAUUCAUACAAGGCUUUACCAGAAUUUCUUGAUUCUCUGCCCGAAAGACAACCCGAUGCGGUUAAUUGAAAGCUUUGAGAUGAUGACUUGCGAAUCUGCAGUUGCAAAGUGCAGCUGUUUAUCUAGAUAGGCUACAAUAGUGUCAAAACUUGUCAUGGCUGAGAUAUUAGUCCGUGUCUCCCUAUGAUUUCUGGGAAUGCAAGGAUAAUAUGUAGCAUGUCUUUCCCAGAAUAGCUAAUGUGGAGAGGCAUCACAUCAAUCAGUCUCAAUUUGUUGGACGCCUCACUCCAGCAAAUAAAUGCACCACGAUGUAUACAAUUUGUUUAGAGCAUCUAAUGCUAGUUAUUUUUGUUUGUUAUUCAAAUUUAAAUUCCCUUCC